GAAGCUGGAAUCGCUAGUAAUCGCAGAUCAGAAUGCUGCGGUGAAUACGUUCCCGGGUCUUGUACACACCGCCCGUCACACCAUGGGAGUUGGAAAUGCCCGAAGCCAGUGACCCAACCGUAAGGAGGGAGCUGUCGAAGGUGGAGCCGAUGACUGGGGUGAAGUCGUAACAAGGUACC
rnacentral:rRNA from 1 species